GGACUCAUGGUCUAGGGGUUAUGACGGCGCCCUUACAAGGCGCAGAUCGCCGGUCCGAUUCCGGCUGGGUCCA
rnacentral:tRNA from 1 species